GGCGCCAUCUUGACAGAGCCACACUCAACAUGUUUUGGGAAGUGUUGGACAAGUACAUGGCAAAAGAGAAGCCUCAUUUGCGAUAUUGAUAAGAGACUGUGGAUGUAUUCUAUUGACUGUAAAUAUCUAGUGAGGAUAACAAAUCCUGCUUGUGCUGUCCCUUUGCAAUAUGUGACUUGAUGACUAAGUGGAAAAACAAGAGACGGAAAAAUAUGUAUAUGGGGGAAGAAACCAUUCUGUCAUAUGCUAUAAUUGUGUACAUACAAAUUGAAAAAUGAAAUAAAAUCAAAAAUGG
rnacentral:misc_RNA from 1 species